ACAGCUUCAGGCCGAGCUGGAGGCUUUUGUCAGUGCUGCUCGAACCAAAGAAAUUGAGCUGAGCCGCGAACUCAAUGAGCUGCAAAGCCAUGUGCAGGAUAGGAUGGAGGCCAAAGACCUGCUGCUGGCACAAGCAGAGCACAAAGCCACUGAGCUGGAAGAGAUGCUGAAGCAGGCUGUGGAUGACUUCAUCCAGGAGCGAGCAGAGCUGCAAAGGAGUCUUUCUGCUUUGGAGAGCAGGCAAGAUGAAGUAAUUUCAUUUUCUGAGAACAUGGAGCUGAUAGGCAGAAUCCAGGAAGGUGAGGAGCUCCUCUGUCAGGAAUUAAAGGACGAGAGAAAGGCUCUGCUUGCAGAAAGAGAUUCACUGGCAUUGAGAGUGGUGCAGUUGGAGGACAUUGUGUUGCAGUUGAUUGGAACCACUGGAGAACCUUCUGCAGAACUUUCUCAGGAACCUUGCAUAGAGUCCACUGUAGAAAUCCCUGUAGAACCCAAUGGAGAUGACCUUGAAGAAACUUGUAAAGAAUCCACAAUAGAGCCCUUUGAUGAACUAAAUGAAGAAACCUGCACAGAAUCUACUGAUGAAGUCAGUCCAAAGCACGUCAUAUGUGAGGAGUCUUCUGUAAACAGAGAAGAUGAAGAGGAAGUGGAUGAAGUUACUGACCCAGACUUUGGUAAUUCACAGCUACACAGAUGCCCAGAGGUUAGAGUUACAAAUGGUAUAACUUUAAACUCUUGUUCUGAUGGUAAAUUAGACAUAGCGGAUGUAGAAUCUAACAACAGUGGGACAGAAACUCCUGAUUGUCCUAAAGAAGAGAAGGAAGAGACCGAGGAGAAACUCUGUAAUCCUGGAGCGGAUGGUUUCAAAGAUACAGAACUGAUUGAAGAGCUGAAUGUUAAGAGCAGUAGCACGGACACUCAGAGAGAUGACACUUUGAAGAUGGCAGAGGAGUAUAUUUUAAAUGGCACAGAAAGAGAAGGUAAUUUCUCUGCAGAAUCUGAUGAUUCCUUUAACCAAGAGAGCUUGCAACACCAUGAAUCUCCAAGCAAAGAAGAAACCCAGGCUGAAUACAAUGGCAAAC
ensembl:lncRNA